GCAGCUCAGUGGGAAAGCACAUAUUCUGCAGGCAGGAGGUCCCAGGUUCAAUCCCUGGCAUCUCCA